rnacentral:rRNA from 1 species
GAUGAACGCUAGCUACAGGCUUAACACAUGCAAGUCGCGGGGCAGCAUGGGGGUUGCUUGCAAUCCCCGAUGGCGACCGGCGCUCGGGUGAGUAACGCGUAUCCAACCUGCCCUUCACCACGGGAUAACCCGGCGAAAGUCGGACUAAUACCGUAUGUUGUCCAUUGACGGCAUCCGAUUUGGACGAAAGGCUUGGCGGUGAGGGAUGGGGAUGCGUCCGAUUAGCCAGACGGCGGGGUAACGGCCCACCGUGGCUACGAUCGGUAGGGGUUCUGAGAGGAAGGUCCCCCACACUGGAACUGAGACACGGUCCAGACUCCUACGGGAGGCAGCAGUGAGGAAUAUUGGUCAAUGGGCGUAAGCCUGAACCAGCCAAGUAGCGUGCAGGAGGACGGCCCUAUGGGUUGUAAACUGCUUUUAUGCGGGGAUAAAGUGGCCCACGUGUGGGCUUUUGCAGGUACCGCAUGAAUAAGGACCGGCUAAUUCCGUG